rnacentral:tRNA from 1 species
ACGCCCGUAGUUCAACGGCAGAAUAGCUGGCUUUUAACCAGUUUGAUGAAGGUUCGAAUCCUUCCGGGCGUAACA